AAAUUGGGAAUGAGUUUUUCCAGUGCAGCUGGGCCACUUCUCCUGAGUUACCACGAGAGGGACACAGAAGGAAAGCAAAAGGAGCUGGGAAAGAAAGAAUCCAAGGACCAGCUCGAGCAAUUUGUGAUAAUUCUGAUUAAUUCUGCUUUACCUGCAGAUUUAAUUUGGGAUAAAUAUUCCCAGAACAAGUCACGGGGAUGUAACUCCAUGAAGGAAAAGGAGGAGAAGAAUUUUGGCCAAAAUCCAGGGAUUUUGAAUGAAGAAAGUUCUCAGAAAUUAAGGAUGGAUGAGGGCAGAGCAGAAGUCCUGGAAUGGAUGUAGACAAGACAUUCCAGUUCUAGGCCACCCUUCCUGGCUCCAGAUGAGAGCAUGGCUUUGCUGGAAGAGGGGAUUGCAAAAGGGGAUGUGAGGGAGGUCUGGAGAGCAAUAAUUUUAAACAGCACUUCAGCCAUGAUGUCAUUUCAGCUGAAAAAUAAUGUUCAAGCUUGGGCAAGCAGAGCCUGGGGCCAGCAGCCAGGGUGGGGAGGAACUGCAGCAAAAUGGAAAGUCCAAAGCGUGGAAGGUCAUGGUGGAAAACCAGAUCAGAAUAACCCUGAAACAAGGUGGAUAAAAACCCUGGAAUUUUCUAUGAGCAUGAAGAUUCCAAGGAAAUGGAGGGGAGGAAGAUGUUCAAACCCUGGACAGGGGUUUCACUCCUCUGUCUGGAAGUCAGAAGCCAAAUCCUGGAGCAUAGGAACAGCCUGAAGGAUUGUUGUUACCCCAGACUGUGAUCCCAGAGUGAUCCCGAGCUCUUCUGCUGGGAUUUAACCCAAAUCCAGCCCAAAUCUGCAUCCACCUCCUUGCCUGAGGAGGCCAAAAGGCUGAAACAACCAAGGGAUGUUGUUCCAUUAUGGUUUGGACAUCAAAAAUGCCAUCUAAAAACUGCUUUGUGGGGUUUCUCCCUCACGGGCUGAAAGGGAGGCUCACCCUCAGGCCAGGCUGUAGGAUCAGCCCUUUCCAUGGGGUUUUAAAUGAAUUCCCACUAAUCCAGCCAUAGAAAGCUGAGGCUUGGUCAGCCUUGGAUAAAGCCUCGCACAUUUUGUCCUUUUUUCGUUCCCUGUUCCACCACAAACCUCAGCUGGGGAGGAAAAAACCCAACAAAGCAAGCAGAGGAAGGGGCACCUGCAGCUGGAAAUGACAAAAAGCUCCUGUUUUAGCAGGAGAUUUAGGACUUGGAGCUCCCCAGGAACAACUUCUCUUCCCGCUGUGCUGGGAGCCAGGAAUGAGCUCAGGCUGUGAGAUCAGAUUUUGCUGAGUCUACAGGGUUAGCCUUGUUCUUUCCUCUUAUCCAGAAGUUCUCCUCUCCAAGCCAUGCCUGGAUAUUUGAUUUCCUUGGGAAAUCUCGGCCCUCUCAGCAGCUUUUGCUGCCUUUUGUGUCCGGGACGCUCAACUCUGCCAGCAGAAAAAGUUGCUUUUGUCAUUCCCGUUUCUCCACCUGAGGCGUGGGGUUCCUGGAAUCCCGUGAGCUUUUCCUGGAAGAAGUGGUGCAGGAAUGGCUUGUGCAGAAAGCACUCCAAGGCUGCAGAGAUGUCCAGGAGGCAGCUGGAAUUUAGGGAGAGCUCUUGGAAUUCUCUCUCCUGGUGGGUAUUUCUCUGGCUGUUGAUGAGCACCCAACGUGCUCUGGCUCGAGGGGAAGUUCAGGGAAGAGCCUGGCCCUGUGCUGGCCAAAAGGAAUUGGAAUUUUAUGGAGGGAACACUGCAAAAAUGCAGAGGAUUGACGUGGUCUCCAUCUGGAAUUCAAAUUAAAGGGAUUUGGGACCAUCACAGUCAGGCCAAACCUGUGCCCUCGCGGUUUUUGGGUAGGAAGAGCAGUUCAGAUGAAGCAAGGGCUGACUCUGGAUCUCUCCACAGCCCAUAAACCUGAAAAUUAUUAUGGAAAAAGGGCAGGUUUGCCCUUGAGGCUGUUUUUCAGCUCUGGGUGGGGUCGGGAGAAGGCAUUGCCAGCACUCUCCAGAGCCAGGUCAUUCCUGGGAGAUUUCUGGGGCUGAGAUUUUCUGGAAAACUCCAGAGGUUUGGGUCAGUCUCCAUCCUCCUUCUUUUCUGGAGAGCUUCCCAUCCCUUGUGAGCCUGCACACGCCGUUUUUCCAUUUCUCUGGAAGUGACCAAAAACCCCAAAACAACCCCAGAGCCUGGAUGAUGCUGAAUUUUCCUCUGAGCUCAUCGAGGAUGUCCAAAGCAGCACCAUUUGCAGAUGGGGCCAAGAAUCUGUAAUGUCUCAAAGCUGAGCAAAAUAAAACGUGUGUGAGAGAAGAGAUGGGUGAUAAGGGGAGCUGAGGGGGUGGGAGCCAGGAAAAAGAUGGAUUUGGGAGCCCAGUGCUUGUCCCAAAAGCCAUGAGGGGGUGAAAUGAGCAUUUCCACGAGUGCAGCUGUUUGUUUGAGCCUCUUUAAUGAAUUAUUUUGACUUACAUUUGUUAAUUACCUUCAGGAAGGAGCUGCAGCUCCAGACUGAGAAGAUUCUCCUGCAUGGAAGCGUUUCCCACUGUUCCCCAACUGCUGCAGGUUUUUAUUUCUGGAAUUUCCUCUCUUUCUUAUUUGGAAAUUCCAUCUUUUUAUUGGAGGAAAUCUCUCUUUGGAGAGAGGGUGAGGAAUCCUGAGGGUGUCCCUGUCCUUGCCCAUGCCCAGAGCAUCUCUGUGCAUUCAUCCUGCUCACAGCCAGCAUUAUCCUUGCUGGAGAACCUCUGGAAUGCCUCAGGAAAUCCCUGGGAAGGGGGCACAGGGUGAGGAACUCACACACCAGGGGCUGUCCUGGGGUUGUCCCUCUCUGCUCAGCCCCCAGGAGCUGGGGUCCUCCCGUGCUUGGGAUUUUGGGAGCAGUUCCCAAAGGAAUUUAAAGCAGUUUUUGAGGAAGAAAACUUCCUUCUGGUGUGCUGGGGGUGAAAUAUCAGCUGAAAGGGGGACAGGCAAAAAGGAUCUAGAGAAAGCUCUGCUCCACCACCCCCACAAGAGGAAGAAUUUGAUAAUAAAUCCAUUUUUUUGUUCAAGAUUCUCAUUUUGCCAAAGGACAACGAGACCACUUCAAAGAACAACGUGGAGAAUUUGCUGGUGCUUCCUCUACCCCUCUUUUCUUUGUGUCCUUCACAAAUCUCCCCCUUCCACAGCAAAAAACCCCAUCUGUCCUGGAGAGUUCUCAUUGUAAUUCAGAGAGGUUUUCUCCCCCAUUUUCCUAUAUAAGAAAAAGCCCUUUUUCUUCACACAAGUGUUAAAUGACUCCUAUUAAAACCGAAUUUAAGUGAAUUUAAGUGAAUUUAAUCUUUUCCUGAGACAAGGCAGAGAAUAUUACAUUCAAUAAUCAAUUUAUUUCCCCCCUUUUCUCUGUCCCACUCAGUAUUUCCAGUUGGGAGAAAGGGAAUUAACACACAGUGAUCGAUCCUUUCUUCCUCUCCUUACAACUGAAAUCUCAUUUCCAGCAGGGAAAAGGUUUCUGUCUCCUGCCAAGAGCUGGCUGCAAAAUCAUUUGUACAGAGCACCUCUGAUCACUGGUGUCCUGAAAAGACCUGAUUGCUGGGUUUGCCUUUUUCCAGCUGUUAAAUUAUCCCAGAUAUCUUCCUGCUGGAUUUGUUGAGGGUUUUUUUAAUGGAAAAAGGGAAAAUUUGGAGGGGAAACCCAGCCCCUGUUGCAGUCAGUGAGAGGAAGAGGCAAGAGAAGUGGCAUUAAUUUGGAAUUAAUUAAUUAGAAGUUGGUUUUUGCUGUGUGUUCAGGAGAUUUGGGCAGGUUUCCUUAAGAAAAGCCCUGGCAUGGAAAAUCUCUGGAGUUCCCUUGGGAUGCCCACGGAAAGGGCAGCUCUGGGGGCAGCGUGGCCACAACUCCUGGGAAAUUCCCAGCUCCCCACUUCUCAUCCCCAUUUUCCCUGGGGGCUGUGCCCAGCUCCAUCUCCAGGGGAUCCAUUCCUCAGCUCCCUGGGAAAAACAAGAUUUUCUCUGGAGUUCCAACCCAAAUAUUUCCCUUUCCCCCUGGAUUUGGCUGUGCUCCCUGUCCCUGUUUUUAGGGGUGAAUGUUGUCAGGUUCCUUGGGAUCCUCCCUGUGGAAAGGAGAGAUGGAAGCUCUGUCCUGGAUGCCCCCAGCUGUGCAGCAACCUGAGGACACCAGAUCCUCAUCCGAGCCACCCUUGGGGUCACAGAAAUGCCACUUUCCCUACACAAAAUGCGAAUUUUUGCGCAGCUCCAGCAGCGAGGAGAUCCCCAGGAUCCCUGAGCUCCAGGGCUCUGCCUGUCCAGGGCUCAGUGCCAGAUGUUCCUUUGGAGUUAAUAAUUCUUGGGACGCGUUCAAAGCCAGCUCAAUGCUCCCAAAGAGAGGUCCCAAAGCUAUUAAAGCGUGGACGUGCUGUCUGCCCACCUCCACCGUGAUCUCAGAGCCCUGAGCACUUCCAGUCCUGCCUGCGAGGAGCCAAUUCCUGUUUACUCCUGCCUGGAGACCCCUGGCUUCCAAAAUUCAGGAGCUUUGACCACAGAGAUCAAUGGGAUGCAUCAUUUAGGGGAAAAGGAAAAGCCAGGCUGCUUCGAAGAGCUUUUGUUUUUAAGCUCUGCCAUCCCAGGGAGUUUUGGGAACGCGGAGCAGUAAAUCUGUGUUAUUGUCAUUAUGAGUCUGGGAAGUGUUUUUCAGGAGAAAAUCCCAAAAAAAGAAAGGGAGAUCACAGCCAAAGGACUUUUAGUGGGAAAAGCUGAAGACUCUGGGCAUUAAAGUCCCAACAAUUCCCAGCAAGCAGCGAUGGCUUCGCUCUCUCAUCGCUUUGCACCUCUCUCAGACAAAACAUCCCUCAGCCUUCCCCGAUUUUCCAGUACAAUUCCAGUUAAUUAUUCCCGGUUUCCUCGGCGUGUCUGAGCUCCCGCUGGCUGCUGGAGGAAGAGGAGCUCAUUGUUACCAAUGAGCCUAAUCCAGAGCUCGAAAUCUUUUAUUAUCCCUGCUAGAAAACACCAUGAAUAGCGAAGGAAAAAAUGCGAGGCCGUUUCCUGCGGGGUUUUCAGCGCCCUCCGGGGGCUGGGAUUGCGCCAUGGAUGGUGCUGGGUGGCUCUGGCUCAUUCCCACAUUCCCACAUUCCCACAUUCCCACAUUCCCAC